CCCCUCCGCUUCUCUGCCCCCUCCCGCCUUUUCUCGCCCUUCUUCCACCCCCCUUCCCG
rnacentral:rRNA from 1 species